GGGGGUUAAAGUCAGGUCUCAUGCCAACCUAGCUGCUCCUCCAGCCUGCACCCACAUUUUCAUCCAUUUUGUAUUUAUCCCUGCUUCAUUCUAACUUGCGUGACAAUAGAAAGGAGCAACUGAAGAGUAGUUCGCAUAGAUUGGUGUCUCAGGCAUGCGUCUGUUCCAUGGAAACUAGAGUUAAGUCAGGCUAAAUACUGUGUGUGGGCUAAAACUCCAGUGUUCUAAGAUGUGCCAAAAUACAUGCUUAACUGUGAGAGGUUGUAAUGCUAGGCCUGCUCUCUCUGCCUUCUGGUCCUUUCUUCCUGCUCUUCCUCCUUCCUUUGACUCCUUCCUUUCUUUACUUGUUGAACUUUGAAUCCUUCUGCCUCAGCUUCCUGGGUGGCUGUAGGACAAGGCUUUAACAUCAGACCCUGCUUAAGUGUCUUUGUUUUUGUUUUUUGAGACAGUGUUUCUCUGUGUAGCCUCAGCUGUCUUGGAAAUCACUCUGUAGACCAGGCUGGCCUCAAAUACAAGAUCCUCCUGCCUCUGCUUCCCGAGUACUGUUGUUAAAGGUGUGUGCCACCACUACUAGGCCUCUGUAACAGAUAAAAACCACCACCCAGCCUCUUUAACAGAUCCAAAAAAACCUAAAACCCACACAUACUUGUGUUUCUGGAGCUUAACCUCAAAAUAAUCCCUAUUAAAUGUAUUUUUGUCACUAACAAAACUUGUUGUCAUCAGUCGUAUAUGUACUCAGACAGUAGUCAUUUCCUAGCACCUGACAGCCCUUGCUCACCUGUUGAGCUUGCAGACCUCACGCAGAUCUUUGCAGUCCUCUGCAUAAGGAUGAGAACUCACGGUAUUUCUUCUAACAGGGGAGACUCACUGGAGAACAGCAUCUGUAAGCUGUUGGACUUCCGCGUCAUGCUUGGAGAUAGAGUAAGUCACCUGCUUGAAGCUUUGAAAGAGGCGUGCGGAAGCUUUUCUGUGAGGACUAAGGAACUUUGUAGACUCCCUUAGAGCCUCGUUGUCUCUUUUUGUGGUGGACUUCGUUCCAUUAUUUAAAAUGCAAUCACUUUCAAUUAAAUUGAGUUGCUGUGAAUAAUUCUUCAUGUCUUCCCCCUCCCUUUAUUCUCUUCCCAGUUAAUUAUUUAUCCCUUCUCUCUUUUGGCAGCUUUGGUACUUUGCUUUCUUUCGGGAGGCAGAACUCCCUGCAUGGCUUUUGUGAUUCCCCUGUUAUACAAAACAAUGGGAUAAAUGUUCACAUGCUAUAGCUUUUAUUUUUGGGGGGCUGUGAUGGG
rnacentral:lncRNA from 1 species